GGUAUCAUGACCGUGCGAAGGUAGCAUAAUCAUUAGUCUCUUAAUUGGGGGCUGGAAUGAAUGGUUGGACGAGAAAUUAGCUGUCUUAGUUUUGAAAAUUGAAUUUAACUUUUAAGUGAAAAGGCUUAAAUGGGCUAGAGGGACGAUAAGACCCUAUAAAGUUUGUACAUUAAACUAAUUUAAGGCGGUUUGGGUUUAUAAAGUUUGUCAUUAGGAGAAAGUGUUUAGUUGGGGCGAUUGGGAUAUAAGUUAUAUAACUGUUUCUUUGUUUGAAUCAAAAAUAUUUGAGUUUAUGAUCCUUUUUUAGGAUUCAAAGAGUAAAUUACUUUAGGGAUAACAGCGUAAUUUUUUUUGAGAGUUCUUAUCGAUAAGAGAGUUUGCGACCUCGAUGUUGAAUUAAAAUUUC
rnacentral:rRNA from 1 species